CUACGGGCCGCAGCAGUGAGGAAUAUUGCACAAUGGGGGGAACCCUGAUGCAGCAACGCCGCGUGGAGGAUGACGCAUUUCGGUGUGUAAACUCCUUUUAUAUGUCAAGAAAAUGACGGUAGCAUAUGAAUAAGCACCGGCUAACUCCGUGCCAGCAGCCGCGGUAAUACGGAGGGUGCAAGCGUUACUCGGAAUCACUGGGCGUAAAGGACGCGUAGGCGGGUUGGAAAGUCAGGUGUGAAAUCCUACAGCUUAACUGUAGAACUGCACUUGAAACUUCUAAUCUAGAGUAUGGGAGGGGGAGAUGGAAUUAGUGGUGUAGGGGUAAAACCCGUAGAUAUCACUAGGAAUACCUAAAGCGAAGGCGAUCUCCUGGAACAUUACUGACGCUAAGGCGUGAAAGCGUGGGGAGCAAACAGGAUUAGAUACCCCCGUAGUC
rnacentral:rRNA from 1 species